rnacentral:miRNA from 1 species
AAAGUGCUACUACUUUUGGGUGU